CUCAGAGGUUCCCAGUGGUCAGUCUGCCCAGCAGCAUCAAACACACCUGGACUCCAUAUUUAUGCUGCUGGAGGACAACAUCAUCACUUUUGUGAAGAAUGAGCUGAAGAAGAUCCAGAUGGUUCUGAGUCCAGAUUACCCACAA